AUACUUACUUAGCAUGGAAGGUACCAUGAUCACGAAGGUGAUUUUCCCAGGGCAAGGCUUAAUCAUUGCAGUCCAGUGUGCUGACCCCUGCGAUCUCCCCAAAUGUGGUACACUCAACUGUAUAAUUUGUGGUAGUCAGGAUGGUAUUUGUGCUUUCUUCU